rnacentral:rRNA from 1 species
UACGGGGGGGGCGAGCGUUGUUCGGAAUCACUGGGCGUAAAGGGCGCGUAGGCGGCCCGCACAAGUCUGCGGUGAAAACCUCCGGCUUAACCGGGGGCCGGCCGUGGAAACUGUCGGGCUGGAGGCUGGGAGAGGGCAGCGGAAUUCCCGGUGUAGCGGUGAAAUGCGUAGAGAUCGGGAGGAACACCGGCGGCGAAGGCGGCUGCCUGGACCAGUGCUGACGCUGAGGCGCGAAAGCUAGGGGAGCAAACAGG